rnacentral:rRNA from 1 species
UACGAAGGGGGCUAGCGUUGUUCGGAUUUACUGGGCGUAAAGCGCAUGUUGGCGGGCCGAUAAGUUGGGGGUGAAAUCCCGGAGCUCAACUCCGGAACUGCCUCCAAAACUAUCGGACUGGAGCAGAAGAGAGGCGAGUGGAAUUCCGAGUGUAGAGGUGAAAUUCGUAGAUAUUCGGAGGAACACCAGUGGAGAAGGCGACUCGCUGGCUUCUUGCUGACGCUGAGAUGCGAAAGCGUGGGGAGCAAACAGG